UCGAGGGGUAACAGGGAAAAGCUUGCUUUUCCGCUGACGACCGGCGCACGGGUGCGUAACGCGUAUGCAACCUACCUCUUACUGGGGAAUAGCCCGAAGAAAUUCGGAUUAAUGCCCCAUAUGCUCGUACGGCCUCAUGGUCGAGCGAGGAAAGCUCCGGCGGUAAGAGAUGGGCAUGCGUCCUAUUAGCUUGUUGGUGAGGUAAUGGCUCACCAAGGCUACGAUAGGUAGGGGGCCUGAGAGGGUGACCCCCCACACUGGUACUGAGACACGGACCAGACUCC
rnacentral:rRNA from 1 species